rnacentral:rRNA from 1 species
AUUGAACGCUGGCGGCAGGCUUAACACAUGCAAGUCGAGCGAGCGGCGGACGGGUGAGUAAUGUCUGGGAAACUGCCUGAUGGAGGGGGAUCACUACUGGAAACGGUAGCUAAUACCGCAUACACUCAGAUGUUCCCAGCUGGGAUUAGCGAGUAGGUGGGGUAAUGGCUCCCCUAGGCGACGAUCCCUAGCUGGUCUGAGAGGAUGACCAGCGACACUGGAACUGAGACACGGUCCAGACUCCUAGGGGAGGUAGCAGUGGGGAAGAUUGCACAAGGGGCGCAAGUCUGAUGCAGCCAUGCCGCGUGUGUGAAGAAGGCCUUCGGGUUGUAAAGCACUUUCAGCGAGUAGGCGUUACUCGCAGAAGAAGCACCGGCUAACUCCGUGCCAGCAGCCGCGGUAAUUC